GGCGGACGGGUGAGUAAUGCUUGGGAACUUGCCUUUGCGAGGGGGAUAACAGUUGGAAACGACUGCUAAUACCGCAUAAUGUCUUCGGACCAAACGGGGCUUAGGCUCCGGCGCAGAGAGAGGCCCAAGUGAGAUUAGCUAGUUGGUAAGGUAAAGGCUUACCAAGGCGACGAUCUCUAGCUGUUCUGAGAGGAAGAUCAGCCACACUGGGACUGAGACACGGCCCAGACUCCUACGGGAGGCAGCAGUGGGGAAUAUUGCACAAUGGGGGAAACCCUGAUGCAGCCAUGCCGCGUGUGUGAAGAAGGCCUUCGGGUUGUAAAGCACUUUCAGUUGUGAGGAAAAGUUAGUAGUUAAUACCUGCUAGCCGUGACGUUAACAACAGAAGAAGCACCGGCUAACUCCGUGCCAGCAGCCGCGGUAAUACGGAGGGUGCGAGCGUUAAUCGGAAUUACUGGGCGUAAAGCGCACGCAGGCGGUUUGUUAAGCUAGAUGUGAAAGCCCCGGGCUCAACCUGGGAUGGUCAUUUUAGAACUGGCAGACUAGAGUCUUGGAGAGGGGAGUGGAAUUCCAG
rnacentral:rRNA from 1 species